rnacentral:rRNA from 1 species
UACGUAGGGUGCAAGCGUUAAUCGGAAUUACUGAGCGUAAAGCGUGCGCAGGCGGUUUUGUAAGACAGAGGUGAAAUCCCCGGGCUUAACCUGGGAACUGCCUUUGUGACUGCAAGGCUUGAGUGCGGCAGAGGGGGAUGGAAUUCCGCGUGUAGCAGUGAAAUGCGUAGAUAUGCGGAGGAACACCGAUGGCGAAGGCAAUCCCCUGGGCCUGCACUGACGCUCAUGCACGAAAGCGUGGGGAGCAAACAGG